GUAGGUGAACCUGCGGAAGGAUCAUUACAGAGUUCAUGCCCUCGCGGGUAGAUCUCCCACCCUUGAAUAUUAUACCUUCGUUGCUUUGGUAGGCCGUGGAAACACCACGGGCCCCGGCUUGUGCGUGCCUGCCAGAGGAUACAUCAAAACUCCUGUUUUAACGGUGUUGUCUGAGCUACAAGCAACGAAUCAAAACUUUCAACAACGGAUCUCUUGGUUCUGGCAUCGAUGAAGAACGCAGCAUCUGACU
rnacentral:misc_RNA from 1 species